rnacentral:rRNA from 1 species
CCCCUAUUGUUAGUUGCCAUCAUUCAGUUGGGCACUCUAGCGAGACUGCCGGUAAUAAACCGGAGGAAGGUGGGGAUGACGUCAAAUCAUCAUGCCCCUUAUGACCUGGGCUACACACGUGCUACAAUGGUUGGUACAACGAGUUGCGAGUCGGUGACGGCGAGCUAAUCUCUUAAAGCCAAUCUCAGUUCGGAUUGUAGGCUGCAACUCGCCUACAUGAAGUCGGAAUCGCUAGUAAUCGCGGAUCAGCACGCCGCGGUGAAUACCGUUCCCGGGCCUU